CACGUAGGGCGCAAGCGUUGCCCGGAAUUAUUGGGCGUAAAGAGCUCGUAGGCGGUCUGUUGCGUCUGCUGUGAAAUCUCGGAGCUUAACUCCGAAACUGCAUUCGAUACUGCCGUGCUUGAGGACUGGAGAGGAGACUGGAAUUUACGGUGUAGCGGUGAAAUGCGUAGAUAUCGUAAGGAAGACCAGUGGCGAAGGCGGGUCUCUGGACAGUUCCUGACGCUGAGGCACGAAGGCCAGGGGAGCAAACGGG
rnacentral:rRNA from 1 species